rnacentral:miRNA from 1 species
UCAAUAAAAUAUGAUAUUAGGUUGGUGCAAAAGUAAUUGCGGUUUUUACUAUUAAUGGCAAAAAAACGAAAUUACUUUUGCACCAACCUAAUAAUAAGAUU